UAGUGGAUUUAUCGGAGCAAUAGA
rnacentral:siRNA from 1 species